AAUGAACGCUGGCGGCAUGCCUAACACAUGCAAGUCGAACGAGACCUUCGGGUCUAGUGGCGCACGGGUGCGUAACGCGUGGGAAUCUGCCCUUGGGGUCGGCAUAACAGUUGGAAACGACUGCUAAUACCGGAUGAUGACGUAAGUCCAAAGAUUUAUCGCCCAAGGAUGAGCCCGCGUAGGAUUCGCUUGUUGGUGAGGUAAAGGCUCACCAAGGCGACGAUCCUUAGCUGGUCUGAGAGGAUGAUCAGCCACACUGGGACUGAGACACGGCCCAGACUCCUACGGGAGGCAGCAGUGGGGAAUAUUGGACAAUGGGCGAAAGCCUGAUCCAGCAAUGCCGCGUGAGUGAUGAAGGCCUUAGGGUUGUAAAGCUCUUUUACCCGGGAUGAUAAUGACAGUACCGGGAGAAUAAGCUCCGGCUAACUCCGUG
rnacentral:rRNA from 1 species